rnacentral:rRNA from 1 species
AAAUGAAUAGACGGGGGCCCGCACAAGCAGUGGAGUAUGUGGUUUAAUUCGAAGCAACGCGAAGAACCUUACCAGGGCUUGACAUAUACAGGAAUACUUAAGAGAUUAAGUAGCUCUUCGGAGUCUGUAUACAGGUGGUGCAUGGUUGUCGUCAGCUCGUGCCGUGAGGUGUUGGGUUAAGUCCCGCAACGAGCGCAACCCCUGUUCUUAGUUGCCAGCAUGUAAAGAUGGGAACUCUAAGAAGACUGCCGUAGAUAAUACGGAGGAAGGUGGGGAUGACGUCAAAUCAUCAUGCCCUUUAUGUCCUGGGCUACACACGUACUACAAUGGAUGUUACAGAGGGAAGCUAAAUAGUGAUAUGGAGCGAAACCCAAAAAGCAUCCCCAGUUCGGAUUGUAGGCUGAAAUUCGCCUACAUGAAGCCGGAAUUGCUAGUAAUGGCAGGUCAGCAUACUGCCGUGAAUACGUUCCCGGGCCUUGUACACACCGCCCGU